rnacentral:lncRNA from 1 species
UUGGCCAGGCUGGUCUUGAACUCCUGACCUCAAGUGAUCCCCCCCAUCUUGGCCUCCCAGUGUGCUGUAAUUACAGGCUUGAGCCACUGCGCCCCGCCUUAAUACAUAUCUUUGAAGAAAAAUAUAAAGAUGAAUGGGGUGUGUGUAAAAAUAUAGUUACCAAAAGAAAGGUGGAUUGUUGAGCAUGCAUAAUCGACAUGAAGGAAAUAAUAGAUGAGAUUGAUAGAUGCGAUACACCGAAAGAACGAGUUAGCAGGCUCUGUUGUAAAGGCAAAUAUUUCCUCCAGGACACCAGAAGAAAUGAAGAAAUGGAAAGUGAAAAAUCAAAAACUGAGAUGUAGAGGAUAGUAGAAAUAACCAUAUACUACAAUUCCCAAAAGAAAAAGAGACAACACACAAGGAAAAUACACGAAUUAAAAUUUUCUUGUAAUUAAAAAAGAACGAAAGGCCUCAAAUUGGAAGAGAUUGAUGUGGUGCCAAAUGGAAAAAUAAAGAAAACAAGCUCACCUCCCAGGUUCAUACCAUUCUCCUGCCUCAGCCUCCGGAGUAGCUGGGACUACAGAUGUAUGUAUGUUGUAUGCUGCCCACUAACAAAUGUAAGGCCAUCUUACCUCAAGUACUCAAAUAUCGAAUACUGUCAGCUUGCUGCUGCAAAUUGUUUUUCAAAAGACUUCAUAUUCCAACAGUGAGCGUGUGCCUGUAGUCCCAGCUACUUGGGAGGCCGAGGCAGGAGAAUGGCGUGAACCCAGGAGGCGGAGCNNNNNNNNNNNNNNNNNNNNNNNNNNN